AUACCUUUCUCGAUCUUUUGGCUAAGAUCAAGUGUAGUAUCUGUUCUUAUCAGCACAGGUCUGACGUGCCUCGACCAAGUCAAAUGUUCAAACAUUUCAACCUAU
rnacentral:snRNA from 1 species